rnacentral:tRNA from 1 species
GCUCCCAUGGUGGUCACUACGCUCGCCUUGCACGCGGGAAACCCGGGUUCGAUUCCCGGUGUGGUCA